UGGUCUAGUGGUCAGGAGUCAGCAUUUUCACUGCUGUAGCCUGGGUUUGAUUCCCAG
rnacentral:tRNA from 1 species